GCUUGUCUUGAGGCACUUUUCUCAACUGCACAUUUUGUAUUGCUCAGUUGGUGAGUCAGAAAAAAUUGUGGGACUAAUGAAUUGAUGUUGAAUAGAGGUGCCACUCAGAUUUUAUAACCCUUUGCAUCGCCAAAAGGAACCUAGGAAAAUAUGGAAAAUGAAUAGCAGUGAAAGAUUCAUGCAUGGAUACUUGAUACAAGCAGAAGAGAUUCUGGCUUGAUCCAUCCCACUUGAAAUACUGCGUCCAGUAUUGGUGAAGAG